GUGAAAUGCGUAGAGAUGUGGAGGAACACCGAUGGCGAAGGCAGCCCCGUGGGUUAACACUGACGCUCAGGCACGAAAGCGUGGGGAGCAAACAGGAUUAGAUACCGUGGUAGUCCACGCCCUAAACGAUGUCAACUAGUUGUCGGGUCUUAACGGACUUGGUAACGCAGCUAACGCGUGAAGUUGACCGCCUGGGGAGUACGGUCGCAAGAUUAAAACUCAAAGGAAUUGACGGGGACCCGCACAAGCGGUGGAUUAUGUGGAUUAAUUCGAUGCAACGCGAAAAACCUUACCUACCCUUGACAUGUGCCGAAGCCCGCUGAGAGGUGGGCGUGCCCGAAAGGGAGCGGCAACACAGGUGCUGCAUGGCUGUCGUCAGCUCGUGUCGUGAGAUGUUGGGUUAAGUCCCGCAACGAGCGCAACCCUUGUCAUUAAUUGCCAUCAUUCAGUUGGGCACUUUAAUGAAACUGCCGGUGACAAACCGGAGGAAGGUGGGGAUGACGUCAAGUCCUCAUGGCCCUUAUGGGUAGGGCUUCACACGUAAUACAAUGGCGCGUACAGAGGGUUGCCAACCCGCGAGGGGGAGCUAAUCUCGGAAAGCGCGUCGUAGUCCGGAUCGGAGUCUGCAACUCGACUCCGUGAAGUCGGAAUCGCUAGUAAUCGCGGAUCAGUAUGUCGCGGUGAAUACGUUCCCGGGUCUUGUACACACCGCCCGUCACACCAUGGGAGUGGGUUUCACCAGAAGCAGGUAGUCUAACCGCAAGGAGGGCGCCUGCCACGGUGAGAUUCAUGACUGGGGUGAAGUCGUAACAAGGUAACCGU
rnacentral:rRNA from 1 species